rnacentral:rRNA from 1 species
GACGAACGCUGGCGGCGCGCUUAACACAUGCAAGUCGAACGGAAAGGCCUGCUUUCCCUUGUGGAUUGCGGGUACUCGAGUGGCGAACGGGUGAGUAACACGUGAGUGAUCUGCCCCCAACUUUGGUAUAAGCCUGGGAAACUGGGUCUAAUUCCCGAUAGGACUGCAGGGUGGUGCCUGUGGUGGAAAACGAUUUUCUAGUGGUUGGGGAUGAGCUCGCGGCCUAUCAGCUUGUUGGUGGGGUAAUGGCCUACCAAGGCGGCGACGGGUAGCCGGCCUGAGAGGGUGGACGGCCACAUUGGGACUGAGAUACGGCCCAGACUCCUACGGGAGGCAGCAGUGGGGAAUAUUGCACAAUGGGCGGAAGCCUGAUGCAGCGACGCCGCGUGGGGGAUGACGGCCUUCGGGUUGUAAACUCCUUUCGACCGCGAGGAAGCCACCUGGUUGGAAGGGUGGUGACGGUAGUGGUAGAAGAAGCACCGGCUAACUACGUG